GACGAACGCUGGCGGCGUGCUUAACACAUGCAAGUCGAACGGAAAGGCCCUGCUUUUGUGGGGUGCUCGAGUGGCGAACGGGUGAGUAACACGUGAGUAACCUGCCCUUGACUUUGUGAUAACUUCAGGAAACUGGGGCUAAUACCGGAUAGGAGCUCCUGCUGCAUGGUGGGGGUUGGAAAGUUUCGGCGGUUGGGGAUGGACUCGCGGCUUAUCAGCUUGUUGGUGGGGUAGUUGCUUACCAAGGCUUUGACGGGUAGCCGGCCUGGGAGGGUGACCGGCCACAAUGGGACUAAGGGAGGGACCAGACUGCAACGGGAGGCAGCAGUGGGGAAUAUUGCACAAUGGGCGGAAGCCUGAUGCAGCAACGCCGCGUGCGGGAUGACGGCCUUCGGGUUGUAAACCGCUUUCGCCUGUGACGAAGCGUGAGUGACGGUAAUGGGUAAAGAAGCACCGGCUAACUACGUG
rnacentral:rRNA from 1 species